rnacentral:miRNA from 1 species
UCCUGGGCAAGUCAACAUUCCUGUCUGAACCUCACUUUCUUCAUCCUCAAAAUGGGUAUGGUAAUAUGAUAAAAGGUGGGGUGAGGAGUAAAUGGAAUAAUGUAUG